GUGGGGGGGGGGCUUACCCUUGCCAAGUCUAACGCCCCGCAGGGGAGUGGCAGACGGGUGAGUAACUCGUGGGAUCUACCCAUCCUACCGAAUACUCAGGGAAACUUGUGCUAAUACCGUAUACGCCCUUCGGGGGAAAGAUUUAUCGAAGAUGGAUGAGCCCGCGUUGGAUUAGCUAGUUGGUGGGGUAAAGGCCUACCAAGGCGACGAUCCAUAGCUGGUCUGAGAGGAUGAUCAGCCACAUUGGGACUGAGACACGGCCCAAACUCCUACGGGAGGCAGCAGUGGGGAAUAUUGGACAAUGGGCGCAAGCCUGAUCCAGCCAUGCCGCGUGAGUGAUGAAGGCCCUAGGGUUGUAAAGUUCUUUCACCGAUGAAGAUAAUGACUGUAGUCGGAGAAGCAAGCCCCGGCUAACUUCGUGCCAGCUGCCGCGGUAUUACGAAGGGGGCUAGCGUUGUUCGGAAUUACUGGGCGUUAAGCGCACGUAGGCGGGUAUUUAAAGCUCCAA
rnacentral:rRNA from 1 species